rnacentral:rRNA from 1 species
GACGAACGCUGGCGGCGUGCUUAACACAUGCAAGUCGAACGGAAAGGCCCUGCUUUUGUGGGGUGCUCGAGUGGCGAACGGGUGAGUAACACGUGAGUAACCUGCCCUUGACUUUUGGAUAACUUCAGGAAACUGGGGCUAAUACCGGAUAGGAGCUCCUGCUGCAUGGUGGGGGUUGGAAAGUUUCGGCGGUUGGGGAUGGACUCGCGGCUUAUCAGCUUGUUGGUGGGGUAGUGGCUUACCAAGGCUUUGACGGGUAGCCGGCCUGAGAGGGUGACCGGCCACAUUGGGACUGAGAUACGGCCCAGACUCCUACGGGAGGCAGCAGUGGGGAAUAUUGCACAAUGGGCGGAAGCCUGAUGCAGCAACGCCGCGUGCGGGAUGACGGCCUUCGGGUUGUAAACCGCUUUCGCCUGUGACGAAGCGUGAGUGACGGUAAUGGGUAAAGAAGCACCGGCUAACUACG